rnacentral:lncRNA from 1 species
GGUGUUCUUCGUUCUUCACGGUCUCAAUGGAAAAUAUUCACGCUUUCACUUUUUGCUCAGAUAAUAGAACAUUGUAAACCUCUAACUGCAAAUACUGACCAAAAUGAAUCAAAUUCGAAAGCACGUAUGAUCCCGUUUCAUGCCGAUUGUAAGUUCUCUAAAAAGGAGGGUAAUUUCAAGGCCCCAAAAAUUGCAAAAUAUAGACUACUUACGCUACACGAAUUUUGCUGAACGUCGUGGGUUCAACUCAAAAGUGGACCCACUUUUACUGUUGGCUAUUUUAUACCUGGUGUAAUAUUUCAUUUGGAAAAAAAAUAUUUGUGUCCCUAAUUUCAUAUAAUAUGUACACCAAAAUGUACAUGUAAUAUUCAUAAAAAUUAAAUCUUUCAUAAACAUAAAAUACAAAGGGAAAGCGAUUACAGGCACAUACUCCUCUUUCCCAUAUAAAAAAAAAGAUAGCCAUCAUGCUUCCUCUAAAUUCAUAUCUCAUAUUUUAAAAGACCAGUCUGUACCAAUAAUUUCUUAUACCUAUACCAAACCUAUUGCAAUUAAAAUUUUCAAUGACAAACGCGUUUUGCAGAAUCUCGAUAUUGACGACUUCAAGUCUAAACCUCCUGAUUGCACUUGUGCUAGUUCCCAAUUCACAUAUAAUCCUGCUGGCCACGUUAUUACCGGUGACCUUAACAUUGUUAACAACACUUCUCUACAAAAUGUGUUAUCGAAAGGUCCGAAAUAUCGUGAGCCUGAAUCCAUCAAUUGGAAAUACAACUUUAAAAUUUUGAUGGACUCAGUCGAGGAUUAUGCCAGGCAAUGGGCUAAACGUGAAAAGAAGACGUAGAACACUCUUCCAAAUGGAUUAAGGCAGUGAGGUCGUUAAUACAAAUCAGAAUUAAGAAACUAAAUGGGUUCAUCAAUGCCCAUGCUACGUCAAUCUUUAAAGACCCAAAUGUUGCUAAACACUUAUCCGACCUCCAUGAUAAAUAUGUUGUUGUCCCCGCAGACAAAGCCCAAAAUAACAUCGUUUUUGUCUGUAAAAGUCACUAUAUUAAUUGCUGGAUAAACGAAUUAGGUAUAGACAAUUCACUUGGAAACUCAACAUAUACCAUCACGACACUUACCAAAGAGGAAAUCCUGGAUAAUCAUAGGUCUGUUCUUUAUUCCUUUGAUAUUUCAACCAAAGAUGAAGAACUGGAUCUUCCAUCACUGUAUUGGAUACCUAAACUACAUAAGUGUCCUUACCAACAACGGUAUAUUGUUGGGUCUUCCAAGGGCUCCACGAAACCUCUUUCUAAAUUAUGAACAUCUAUUUUAUCAGCAAUCAAAGUUAUUGUGAAACUGCCUAUUCUAGAGGUGGCGUGAAUCAGAUGUGGAUACUUAAAAAUUCCAAAGAUCUUUUAGAGUACAUACAAUUUAACUCUCUUUCAUCUUGUAACAGUAUUAAAACAUUUGACUUUUCUACUCUUUACACAAGUAUUCCACAUUCCAAACUAAAAGACAAAUUUAAAAAGUUGGUAUUACUUUGCUUCAUAAAAAAGAAUGGCCAACGUAAAUACAAGUAUCUUGUCUUAGGGAGGGAUAAAUCAUACUUUGUAAAGAAUCACUCUGAUUCAAACAAAAAAUUCUCUGAAACCGAUAUUAUCAAGAUGCUUGAUUUCUUGAUUGACAACAUAUUUGUAACGUUCGGAGGACGUGUUUUUAACAGACUGUCCGCAUUCCAAUGGGAACAAAGUGUGCCCCUCUACUUCCCGACUUGUUUCUUUAUUAUUAUGAGGCUGACUUCAUGCAGGAACUUCUUAGGAAGAAAGAUAAGAAGUUAGCAAAUCCUUAACUCUACUUUCCGCUAUAUAGAUGACGUUCUUUUUCACUAAACAAUUCAAAAUUUGGUGACUAUGUGGAACGCAUCUAUCCCUCGAAUUGGAGAUAAAGGAUACUACAGAUACAGUUAAGUCGGCUUCAUAUCUCGACUUACAUCUAGAAAUUGACAAUGAGGGUCUGUUGAAAACAAAACUUUACGACAAAAGAGAUGAUUUUAGCUUUCCAAUUGUGAACUUUCCAUUUCUAAGUAGCAACAUUCCAGCAGCACCUGCAUACGGGGUAUAUAUCUCCCAAUUGAUACGAUAUUCCGGUGCUUGCAUUUUCUAUCAUGAUUUUCUUGAAAGAGGGUUACUGCUCACAAGGAAGCUAUUAAACCAGGAGUUCCAAAUGGUGAAGUUGAAAUCAUCCCUUCGUAAAUUUUACGGACGCCAUCACGAGUUGGUUGACCGUUAUGGAAUAACCGUUUCACAAAUGAUAUCGGAUAUGCUCCUUACGUCGUAACUACAAUCCUCUUCCCUUUCAUGAAUGUGACCUACCGAAUUAGACUAUUUACCGGAUUUGUAAUCACAUAAGCAACACGACGACGGGUGCCACAUGUGGAGCAGGAUCUGCUUACCCUUCCGGAGCACCUGAGAUCACCCCUAGUUUUUGGUGGGGUUCGUGUUGUUUAUUCUUUAGUUUUCUAUGUUGUGUCAUGUGUUCUAUGGUUUUUCUGUUUGUCUUUUUCAUUUUUAGCCAUGGUGUUGUCAGUUUGUUUUAGAUUUAUGAGUUUGACUGUCCCUUUGGUAUCUUUCGUCCCUCUUUGAAAAGAAAUUUACACAUUGAAAUAACCACUGAAUCUGGCUACCAUUUCAGAGCUUACACAUGCAUUAAAAUGUAUCCCCAUGACCAGAAACUAUUACAAAUUUACCGUCUCACUAAUUAGCGACAAGAAUCGAGAAGAAGCGACAAGAAGAAUUAUUUUACCGACAAAAAACUAUUUAGCAACAAGAAAACAUUUUUUUCCUUAAAAUUACUUAUUCCAAAAAAGUAUUAAAGGAAUAUGCAAAAGAAAACAGCUUUAACAACAAAAAAUUUAAUAUUGAUACAAAAAAAAUUGGUAAAUUUUAUUACAUGAUAUUUUAUCAUUUAUUAUGUUUAACAUAAUAUUACGUUUACCCUGUUUAUUAUGAUAUUACUUUUACUUGUUUUAGAACAAUAAUAUAUUUAUCUUAUAAUUUGUUUUUUAAAAUUCUCUUUGUACAAUUUAUAAUAAACUUGCAGAAAAUACAGACACAAAUUGUGAAAUACAAAGAACUGAAAUCAGAGACAUGUAUAUACAUAUAUAUGUCUCUGCUGAAAUAAAAAAAAUAUCAAUUUAUUUCUGCCCGUAUAUUAAAAAAAAUUGAAUGUAUAUAUUUCUUUAUAUUUAAUAAAAAAAAAUGUGUUCUUGUCGCUAAAUAGUCUUCUUGACGCUUCUUGUCACUAAUUAGUGAGACCCCAAAUUUAAUAUGCCUGUACAGAUUCUUUAUAUCCAUUAUGUUAUAUUAUUCCUAUAGGCUAUAGUCAUAUAUAUAUACAAACUAAUCAUGCUAAUUAGAAAUGAUUAUCCAUUGAUAAUAUUAAUUACUUUCAAAAAGUGUACUCAAACUAUAUUAAUAUCAUAAUAUUAUCAAAUUAAUGGUGUUAUGACAGUGGUGGUUCAUGGAUUUAAAUUAAAACUAGGUUGUGAGUGCCCCCAAAAUCAAGGAUUUGUAUACAAAUCCUUGCCAACAUGUAUAAAAUUUCAGCUUGCAUUUAUUUAUGUACACUAUUAUAAUAUGUUUUCUUUGCCUGUAACUUUUAUGUAUUGAGCAGAAAUGCUAGAGGCAUAAUCAUUUAUAAUACAUUAUAAAUAUAUAAAAUUGAGAAUGGAAAUGGGUAAUGUGUCAAAGAAACAGCAACCCAACCAAAGAGCGGACAACAGCUGACGGCCACCAAUGGGUCUUCAUUGGAGCAAGAAAAUAUGUUUUUUCUUGGUAAUUUAUUUGGCAAAUUUUUAUUCAUGUGUUGAUAAUAACAAUGCAAAAUUAAUUUUGCUUAAUUUUGCUUUGAAUAAUUUAGUAUAAUUGAUUUAGUAGAUGUAUGUACAUUUGCUGUAUAUUUAACAGGAUGGAGAAGGCUGUUCACUAUGAAUCAAAAAUUCAAAACAGAGGACUUUUAUAUAUCAACAAAAACACUUGCAGAUCAUGCACAUAUAUGAUAUACAUACAGCAAGAAAACAGUAAUCAAAUGGAAUGUCAAAGACGAGUAAUGCUGAAAGCAAAAUUAUUUUAUUUAAAAUAGAAAACAAUAUGACUAGAAUAUAUUUAGGGUAAGUAAUCCAAUUGUGUCUGCUCAGGUUAACAUCAGUGGGUUAUUUACAAUGCGCUAUGAUUUCAAUCCCACAAAUAUGAAACAAACAUGAUAGACAUUAUGAAUAAACACUAUUUUGAUAAGGAAAUAGACUGAAAAUAUUUUACAUUUAACAGUCAGAUAAGAAAAUUGCCAAUGGAAUAAUUUUGGAAUGGAAGUUAAAAUUUAUAGUUUAUAGGUUCAAGAAUUAUACACAGACUUUAAGCCCAAAUGGUAUACUUUUAAUAAUUUAAAGAUUUAAUACUACAUGUAUUAUCUAUUCUGUAUAAUUUCAAGAUAGUUUCAUUUGGAUUUAAAACCUAAUUUCAAGAAUGAAGGGUACAGUAAUUUAAAAUUAAUUUAUAAAAAACAAUAUAAGGGAAUUAACUCUUACAAGAUGUGCAUCAUAUACAUGAGAAUAUCAAAAGUGUUUUUUAAAUAAACUUUACCAUUUUUUUCAGAUAAGAGAAUGUUAAGGAUGUCUGCUUGUCAUGUUUUGGAAUUUUUGUCAGAUUUUCGGAAUCCUCUGAUUUUAUCCAUUUGAAUGCCUUAAAAAAAAUUCCCCAUGAACCCCCAUUUUUUUUUAUAAAUCUUUUACAUGUAUAAUUAUUAAUCAUUUGUAAAAGUCUUAUAAAAUUUUAUUUAUUUUUAAUAGUAUUUGAGAUCUUUAACUGGUCAAUGAUAAAGCUAUGAAAAAUCAAGAGAGAACAUUUUCCCGCCAAAAUUCCAAUGGCUAAUAUCUCGAAAACAACCACAUUGACCCCUAUAAUUUUUUGGCUUUUUUUAUUCCUCAAUUUAUUCCCUAUCAAUACAUACUAGUUUUAUGAAAAGUUAUUUAUUUUGAAACUGAGCAGCGAACAUCCUUAAGCAGACCAUAUUUGGGUCAAAGAUGCCCAUAACAAUGAAAUAUAAUAUAUUAAAUUAUCAUUCAUCAUUACUUUUCAAUUGAAUCAACAAACUUUAUUUAAUAACAAAAUAAUUUUUUUUUUAUUUUCAGUAAACAACACAUCCUGUCAGAACAAUAAUUUUACUGGAGGAUUAAAAUGUUGAUACCUGGAAUCAGCAAUGUAUAUGAAAUUUGUUAUGAGAGAUAUAUUCAUGUACAGAAUGGUAACCGAGGUGCUUCAAGUGUUUAUUAGCAGACAUUUUUGUUGAAUUUAUGCAGAAUGGAAUAAAUGAAACUUAAGCUGACUAUGGGCUC